GGCUCAGAUUGAACGCUGGCGGCAGGCCUAACACAUGCAAGUCGAGCGGUAGCACAGAGAGCUUGCUCUCGGGUGACGAGCGGCGGACGGGUGAGUAAUGUCUGGGAAACUGCCUGAUGGAGGGGGAUAACUACUGGAAACGGUAGCUAAUACCGCAUAACGUCGCAAGACCAAAGUGGGGGACCUUCGGGCCUCAUGCCAUCAGAUGUGCCCAGAUGGGAUUAGCUAGUAGGUGGGGUAACGGCUCACCUAGGCGACGAUCCCUAGCUGGUCUGAGAGGAUGACCAGCCACACUGGAACUGAGACACGGUCCAGACUCCUACGGGAGGCAGCAGUGGGGAAUAUUGCACAAUGGGCGCAAGCCUGAUGCAGCCAUGCCGCGUGUGUGAAGAAGGCCUUCGGGUUGUAAAGCACUUUCAGCGGGGAGGAAGGCGUUAAGGUUAAUAACCUUGUCGAUUGACGUUACCCGCAGAAGAAGCACCGGCUAACUCCGUGCCAGCAGCCGCGGUAAUACGGAGGGUGCAAGCGUUAAUCGGAAUUACUGGGCGUAAAGCGCACGCAGGCGGUCUGUCAAGUCGGAUGUGAAAUCCCCGGGCUCAACCUGGGAACUGCAUUCGAAACUGGCAGGCUAGAGUCUUGUAGAGGGGGGUAGAAUUCCAGGUGUAGCGGUGAAAUGCGUAGAGAUCUGGAGGAAUACCGGUGGCGAAGGCGGCCCCCUGGACAAAGACUGACGCUCAGGUGCGAAAGCGUGGGGAGCAAACAGGAUUAGAUACCCUGGUAGUCCACGCCGUAAACGAUGUCGAUUUGGAGGUUGUGCCCUUGAGGCGUGGCUUCCGGAGCUAACGCGUUAAAUCGACCGCCUGGGGAGUACGGCCGCAAGGUUAAAACUCAAAUGAAUUGACGGGGGCCCGCACAAGCGGUGGAGCAUGUGGUUUAAUUCGAUGCAACGCGAAGAACCUUACCUGGUCUUGACAUCCACAGAACUUUCCAGAGAUGGUUUGGUGCCUUCGGGAACUGUGAGACAGGUGCUGCAUGGCUGUCGUCAGCUCGUGUUGUGAAAUGUUGGGUUAAGUCCCGCAACGAGCGCAACCCUUAUCCUUUGUUGCCAGCGGUUAGGCCGGGAACUCAAAGGAGACUGCCAGUGAUAAACUGGAGGAAGGUGGGGAUGACGUCAAGUCAUCAUGGCCCUUACGACCAGGGCUACACACGUGCUACAAUGGCAUAUACAAAGAGAAGCGACCUCGCGAGAGCAAGCGGACCUCAUAAAGUAUGUCGUAGUCCGGAUUGGAGUCUGCAACUCGACUCCAUGAAGUCGGAAUCGCUAGUAAUCGUAGAUCAGAAUGCUACGGUGAAUACGUUCCCGGGCCUUGUACACACCGCCCGUCACACCAUGGGAGUGGGUUGCAAAAGAAGUAGGUAGCUUAACCUUCGGGAGGGCGCUUACCACUUUGUGAUUCAUGACUGGGGUGAAGUCGUAACAAGUAAACCGUAAAAUGGCCUUGACUGAAGUUUCUUCUUCUGAAUCAACCCCUCGUUUUCCGGAAGGAUCCCAACUAACAGGUAUGC
rnacentral:rRNA from 1 species